UUUCACUUUGCUUCUUGCUGUACAGGCUGCUGCCACGCUGGCUGGCUAGGUCGCUCUAUCAAUGCAUCUGAGGAGUAAGAGAGACUGAUGAUCUGCUCCAAGGAGGCUGCUCACAAAUGAUCCCUCAGAGUCACAACAGAGCAUCAACGAACAAUGAACAGUGUCUAUGGGGACUUGGUUCUUUCAGGUCUGCUUUAACUUAUGCUUGCAAAGCACAGACCUCAGGACUGACUCACAGAAGGCUCUUCUCUGACAGAACAACAGCUUUCCACAAUUUGGGAAAGCACAGACCACCUUUAUCUAAGAUUUCAGCAGAAGGACCUAUUACUGUUCAUUCGAUAAUGGGACAUUGUAAUGAAACUGAGAUAAUAAAAAGCAUAUGUGUUUGGAACUGG